GUUGUGUGGGUGUGUGUUAGCAUCGUAAAAUUUUGAUCUUUCCCGUCACUCUCAACAAUUACAUGGUACUCUCAUUUACACACUUGCUGUUGCUCUUUUCUUUCCUAACUUCCUGUUAUGAAAUCAGAAAUCAGUUAAAAAUUCCAUCCAAUAAAAGAUAAUGUCAAGAGCUUUUGCCUCCAACAUUAGUCUUCCCCCAUGGAAUUCCUCUGAGCCACCACCAAUUCCAUGUCAUCCUCAAUUCCACUUGACACCAACCACUCGCCGUCACCUUAUCACCUCAAUUUCCAUCAUAAUAUCUCCAUUUCUCGCUUCUCCAAAGCUCAAUGAUCCACUUAACCCCUUUUCCUUACCAGUAUCCAAUGCUCGUGGGCUUUUCCAAAUGCCCCCUUUCCGCCUCACCAACCGGUACUUUCUGGUGAGAGCAGGGGAAUCGGAAUAUGAGAGUUUGGGGUUAAUUAACACUAAUCCAGUAGCCAAAACAUCAGUGGAUAAUGGGCUUUCUGAGAAAGGGAAGAAACAGACAGUUAGGGCAGCGUUCGAUUUGAAAGAAAUGAGGGCUUGUGAAGGGAAUUGUUGGAUUUGGCCUUCUAUUACUCAGAGAGCUUAUCAAGCUGCUGAGAUUAUCGCUGCUGUUAAUAGUGUUAAUCGAAGCCAUAUAGUCCCUGAAUAUAGCUUUCUGGAUGCUCGUGGACUGGGGGCAUAUGAGGGGAAAAGUUUGGAUACAUUAUCUGAAGUGUAUGAAUCAGACAGCCUUUCUCCGAAUAUAAAGCCACCUCCUAUUGAUGACGGCACACCGAAUGAGAGUGUUGCAGAUGUCUUUGUUCGCGUAACGCAACUUAUGUCGAUUCUUGAAACUCAAUACUCUGAGGACACAGUUAUCAUAGUCUCACCAGAUUCAGACAACUUGACAGUUCUGCAAGCUGGUUUAACAGGGCUUGAUCUUCGAAGGCAUAGGGAUCUUUCUUUUGGACCAGGUGAAGUUAGAUUUGUUGAUGCUAGCAGCAUACCUACCUAUAAGCAACCUGCAUCAACAGUCUACAAAUGCUUAAACCCCCCUAGCUGUACAUGAUCACUAUACUCCUAAGCUUGAUAUCAUCAACAAGAAUGCAGUUGAAAAGUUCCUUACAGAACUGCUGCUAUAGUAGAAUUUUCCACUGAAACGAUCGAUCAGUGCUUCAUGUAAAUCAGGAUCAUUUCUCAUUAUUGUUGGUGAAGAUGCGCUCAGCUCUUAUUCAGUCUCAAUGAAUGCUAAAUGAUGCUUAGUGCUGACAGUGUACAAAUAGCACGAUUCAUGACCUGCACAAAAAAUGGUGGCUAGCCAAUGUUACUCGCUAAUGAAACAUGGAUUAUGAAAAUUUCUUCAGCUGCCAUAUGAUCAGGCUUUCUGGAAACAGUUCAUUGAGCAAGCUUAAAAGCUUUAUGAAAGGAACACGUCAAGUUUUAAUGUCUUAUUUGCUGCAGUAAAAACAGGAAAACUUAAUUCAACUUGUUUCUUCUCUUCUCUAUUGAAAUAAAGAAUGGUGGUAUUGCAAUAGUUGAAUUUUGGUUGAAGCAUAUUUCAUAAUUUAAAAAAAAAAAAAAAAAAAACAUAAAAUUUUGAAAAUG